rnacentral:lncRNA from 1 species
CUCCUCUGUUAAUCUGGGAAGCCUAUAUUUUUGAAGGUAGUCAUCCAUUUCACAUAGGUUAUCAAAUUUAUUGGCAUAAAGUUGGGCAAAGUAACUCCUAAUUAUUGCUCUAAUUUCCUAAUAAUUGCUCCUAAUUCCUUCAUUGGUGGAAAGUUCUCCCUUUUCAUUUUUAAGAAUAAUGAUUUGAUUUUUCUUUUUCCUUUUUCUAAUUAGAUUUACCAAACGUUCAUCUAUUUUGUUGGUUUUUUCAUAAAACCAACGCAGUUUUAUUUACUAAUUCAAUAAUUUUUUCUUUACUUUCAAUUUUUUUCAAUUUCUCCUUUUUAUUUUAGAAUGUCAAGUUUAGCAUUUAAUUGGGGUUUUUUUAAUUUGCUCUUUUUCUAGCUUUUUAAGUUGCAAGCCCAAUUCAUUGAUCUUCUCUUUCUCCAUUUUAUUCAAGUAAACCUCUAAAGAUAUAAAAUUUCCCCUUAUUACUGCUUUGGUAUGUUGUAUCAUUGUUGUCAUUUUCUUGGGUGAAAUUAUUAAUUGUGUCUAUGAUUUGCUAUUUCACCCAUUCAUUCUUUAGGAUGAUAUUAUUUAGUUUCCAAUUACUUUUUGGUCUAUUUACACCUAGCUUUUUGUUGAAUGUAUUUUUUAUUGCAUCGUGAUCUGAAAAGAAUGCACUUACUAUUCCUGCCUUUCUGCAUUUAAUUUUGGGGUCUUUAUGUGUUAAUAUAUGGUCAAUUUUUGUAUAGGUUUCAUGAACUGCUGAGAAGAAAGUGUACUCCUUUCUGUCUCCAUUCAGUUUUCUCAAAAGAUCUAUCAUACUUAACUUUUCUAAUAGUCUAUUUACCUUUUUAAUUUCUUUCUUAUUUGUUUGGUGGUUUGAUUUAUCUAAUUCUGAGAGUGCAAGGUUGAGAUCUCCCAUUAUUAUAGUUUUUCUGUUUAUUUCUUCUUGCAACUCUCUUAACUUCUCCUUUAGGAAGUUAGAUGCUAUACCACUUGGUGCAUAUAUGUUUAGUAUUGAUAUUGCUUCAUUGUCUAUGCUACCCUUUAGCAAGAUAUAGUUUCCUGAGUGAAUACAUUAGAAAACUGGCUCUUCACUGUCUAAGUGCAACCUUACUGACUUAUUAAUGCAGGUAAGGAAGGGGGUACUGAGGAGCUAGUUCAGAGUUCGUUUGACAUUUUUAAACCUUUUGAUUUUAGAUGCCCUAAGUCAUGGAAACAGCUGAAGCUACUUUAUCUUUGUCUCAUAAAUUCUGUUUUGAAGAAAGGAUUAGAGAAAAAUAUCUGGUCCUUCAUUUUGUUAAUCAUGGUAUCCACAUUUGCAUUUUUAUUGACUCUGCUCUGUUCUUGUAGUGACUAAAUUUAUGGUUAUUAUAGCUUUUGUUUAGG